rnacentral:tRNA from 1 species
GCCCGGCUAGCUCAAUCGGUAGAGCGUGAGACUCUUAAUCUCAAGGUUGGGGGUUCGAUCCCCCCGUUGGGCG